rnacentral:rRNA from 1 species
AUUGAACGCUGGCGGCAUGCUUUACACAUGCAAGUCGAACGGUAACAGGCCGCAAGGUGCUGACGAGUGGCGAACGGGUGAGUAAUGCAUCGGAACGUGCCCAGGCGUGGGGGAUAACGCAGCGAAAGCUGUGCUAAUACCGCAUACGAACUAUGGAUGAAAGCGGGGGACCGUAAGGCCUCGCGCGAUCGGAGCGGCCGAUGUCAGAAUAGGUAGUUGGUGGGGUAAAGGCUCACCAAGCCAACGAUCUGUAGCUGGUCUGAGAGGACGACCAGCCACACGGGGACUGAGACACGGUCCAGACUCCUACGGGAGGCAGCAGUGGGGAAUCUUGGACAAUGGGCGCAAGCCUGAUCCAGCAAUGCCGCGUGCAGGAAGAAGGCCUUCGGGUUGUAAACUGCUUUUGUACGGAACGAAAAGGUUUGGGUUAAUACCCUGGGCCGAUGACGGUACCGUAAGAAUAAGCACCGGCUAACUACGUGCCAGCCGCCGCCGUAA